rnacentral:lncRNA from 1 species
CCCCUCUCUUCACGCCGGAAGUCAUCCCUCCCGUAGUCAUCUCGCCCUCCCCAGCGCUCCAUGCGGUCGUCGCGCCGCUCGUAGCGCUCCUCGUAGCGGUCGCUGCCACCCCGGAAGUCGUCGUCGCGGCGGUAGCCACUGCCGAAGGCCCUCCGGCCGCUGCCGAUGCGCGAGUUGUAGCCCCGGUCGUAGUCUCUGCUGCGGUCAUCAUAGCGAUCUCUGCCGCCGAAACCACGGUCCAUGUCACGCCGCGGGCCAUCGCGGUACCGAUCGUCGUAGCGAUCCCGAU